UGUUUCGGCUAGGGGGCCAUCCCGGCUUACCAACCCGAUGCAAACUGCGAAUACCGGAGAAUGUUAUCACGGGAGACACACGGCGGGUGCUAACGUCCGUCGUGAAGAGGGAAACAACCCAGACCGCCAGCUAAGGUCCCAAAGUCAUGGUUAAGUGGGAAACGAUGUGGGAAGGCCCAGACAGCCAGGAUGUUGGCUUAGAAGCAGCCAUCAUUUAAAGAAAGCGUAAUAGCUCACUGGUCGAGUCGGCCUGCGCGGAAGAUGUAACGGGGCUAAACCAUGCACCGAAGCUGCGGCAGCGAACGUAUCACUUAAAGCGAUUCAGCGGGUUACGAUUGACGGAGCGAAGCGACGUCAAAGCGUAUACAAAGUCGAGUCGGUUUAAGGAUACGUUCGUUGGGUAGGGGAGCGUUCUGUAAGCCUGUGAAGGUGGCCUGUGAGGGUUGCUGGAGGUAUCAGAAGUGCGAAUGCUGACAUAAGUAACGAUAAAGCGGGUGAAAAGCCCGCUCGCCGGAAGACCAAGGGUUCCUGUCCAACGUUAAUCGGGGCAGGGUGAGUCGACCCCUAAGGCGAGGCCGAAAGGCGUAGUCGAUGGGAAACGGGUUAAUAUUCCCGUACUUGGUGUUACUGCGAAGGGGGGACGGAGAAGGCUAUGUUGGCCGGGCGACGGUUGUCCCGGUUUAAGCGUGUAGGUGUGUGUUCCAGGUAAAUCCGGUUCACUUUAACACUGAGGCGUGAUGACGAGGCACUACGGUGCUGAAGCAACAAAUGCCCUGCUUCCAGGAAAAGCCUCUAAGCAUCAGGUAACAUCAAAUCGUACCCCAAACCGACACAGGUGGUCAGGUAGAGAAUACCAAGGCGCUUGAGAGAACUCGGGUGAAGGAACUAGGCAAAAUGGUGCCGUAACUUCGGGAGAAGGCACGCUGACAC
rnacentral:rRNA from 1 species